GCUGGCCCACGAGAGCAGCCCUGAGACCCAGAGCAAGCAGCUGGCCUAGAGUCAGCCUGGUGGAAAGACAGAGGCCAGGUGUGCAGAUACAGUUUCAGACCUACCUUUUAGAAAGUGACACACUGAAAAACAGGAGAAAGCAACGGACAUGGAGAAGAAAAAUAAAACAGACAAAGAGAGGUUAGUGUGAGUACCGAUCCCCCGACAGGCCUUUGCUGGCCCAGAAGAAAGAGGGCUGCACGCCAACAGGCCGCAGCGUGGCACCAUCACA
rnacentral:lncRNA from 1 species